rnacentral:rRNA from 1 species
AAAAGUGGAUUAGCGGCGGACGGGUGAGUAACACGUGAGUAACCUGCCUUAGACAUUGGGAUAGCCUCGGGAAACCGGGAUUAAUACCAAAUAAAAUCAUAAUGACACAUGUCAUAACGAUCAAAACUCCGGUGGUCUAAGAUGGACUCGCGUCCCAUUAGCUAGUUGGUAGAGUAAAAGCCUACCAAGGCGACGAUGGGUAGCCGGCCUGAGAGGGCGAACGGCCACAUUGGAACUGAGAAACGGUCCAA